UAUGAUGGCGGUGCAAGCUAGCCAACAUCUUCAGAUUAGUCCAUCCAAAAAGCACCCCAAAGGUAACAGUUGGAUUGAUUGUAUCAUUCCUGAAACACCAUUAUCAGAAAUUCAGUUGGUGCUUAAUAGUAAAUAGAAGUGCAGGACAUGCUUAUCACGCUUACUUAGGACUCAUAGGCCUUAUCUAAUCCCUCUCCAAAGCAAAUCAUCUAUUCGAUGUGAAAUAGGCAAGAGGUAGGCAAAAAUGCUAUAUACCAAAGAGUAUACGUCAACCUAAACUGAAGUACUGCUCACAAGGAACAGAGUAUGAUAACAGGUCAUUGCUCACUCUAAAAAUAAAAUAAGUUGUUGGAAAGGAGGGGGGGCUAUUUUAUUUAUACAGUAUAGUUUAGUGAUUUAGUACAAAUAAGAACAUGUCCAAACCUGAUAGGCACGACAAUCUCAAAUCUAUGGGGUCAGUUUGGUUAGAUCAGGAUGAGCAGAAAUGAAAUGCACCAUAUACAUUUUCAGUUUAAUCAACAGAUGUGCUAUUCUCUGAAUAUGAACAUCACACGGCCAAUUUGUAAUAGUACCCUACUUUUUUCUGUAUGGCUCCUGUGAUUUUUGAGUGCAAACCGAUGAGAUUAGCUUAACUACAUUAUCUUAGAAUCCCAUAGAGACUACACCAGCAGCAAGAAAGCAUUAUGGUUUUUCCCUAAAAAAAUAAAGCAUCAUGGUUAAACUUAUGCAGUUACCAACACCUGUUUUAUUUAAACAGAAGAAACUUAAAUUAACUACAGUCUCUCACAAUGCCAUUAAUUAGAGACUACAACAGCGGCAAGAAAGCAUCACAGUUUAUGUUAUGCAACUACCAAAAUGUGAGCUCGUGCGAACAAAAGAUAGUAAAUUAUUCAGCCUAGCAUCAUGGUUCAGCAUACAAAAUCUGAAACCUGAAAGUAUCGUGGUUUAUGUUUUGCAACUACCAAAAUGUGAGGUCGUGCGAACAAAAUUAUGUUUUGCAUGGAAGUAUGGAUUGAGAAAUAUGAAACCUGAGCAAGAAGGUCCAUGCUUUAACAUGUAAAAUAAAGAAGAAGAGAACAUCUCGAAAAAUACAACUUGUCCUUCCGCUGCUUAUCCUCUGAUUUAUGCAUAUGCAUCCAGUAAUAUAAUCAACCUGUACCAAAGUAAAAUCAUAUGCUUGAGAUAACUUGGCAGAGUAUAAACAGAGAAGAAUUCAAAUGUACAACUUAGGUCUCUCUCAUGAAAGAUGGGUGCUUGCAUCCAAAUCUUCCUCGCGAUUUAUUUAUGCAACCACAAAAUUCUUUGAAGAAAACAUGAGACUGUUAUGAUUUAAACUGAUUUAGACUCUCAUGUGCGCUUUAGCCAUUUUACUAAUACUAUUUUAAAAGCAGGAGAUAUUUUUAAACGACACUAACAGUGCAAGCUUAGAUAAUGCACCACAAUAUAUAGAUUCCAAAUCAAUUAAUUGGCUUCUUGGACAAUUAUAUCAAUCUAAAUCAAUGAACCAACCUACAGGAGAGUUUUAGGCAUGCAGUGUCACUACCAAAUUUGAAUUUACUACGGGC
rnacentral:lncRNA from 1 species